AUCACUUCUCGGCCUUUUGGCUAAGAUCAACUGUAGUAUCUGUUGUUAUUAAUAUAAUAUUGUAUAUUCAACCAAUUGUCAAUACAAGGUUGGUUGUAUCUGAUAUGAACCAACAUUGAGUUAAAAAUGGACCUUUU
ensembl:snRNA U2 U2 spliceosomal RNA